rnacentral:rRNA from 1 species
GCCUAACACAUGCAAGUCGAACGAGCAAAUACAUUUGAUUUCUUCGGAAUGAAGAUGUAGGCGCGAGUGGCGGACGGGUGAGUAACGCGUGAGUAAUCUGCCUCAUACAGGAGAAUAACACUAAGAAAUUGGUGCUAAUACUCCAUAAGCUCACAUUAUGACAUCAUAGAGUGAGAAAAGAUUUAUCGGUAUGAGAGGAGCUCGCGUCUGAUUAGCUAGUUGGUGGGGUAACGGCCUACCAAGGCAACGAUCAGUAGCCGACCUGAGAGGGUGAUCGGCCACAUUGGAACUGAGACACGGUCCAAACUCCUACGGGAGGCAGCAGUGGGGAAUAUUGCACAAUGGGGGAAACCCUGAUGCAGCAACGCCGCGUGAAGGAAGAAGUAUUUCGGUAUGUAAACUUCUAUCGACAGGGAAGAAACAAAUGACGGUACCUGAAUAAGAAGCACCGGCUAAAUACGUGCCAGCAGCCGCGGUAAUACGUAUGGUGCAAGCGUUAUCCGGAUUUACUGGGUGUAAAGGGUGAGUAGGCGGUCAUGCAAGUCAUAUGUGAAAUGUCAGGGCUUAACCUUGGCGCUGCAUAAGAAACUGUAUGACUAGAGUGCAGGAGAGGUAAGCGGAAUUCCUAGUGUAGCGGUGAAAUGCGUAGAUAUUAGGAAGAACACCGGUGGCGAAGGCGGCUUACUGGACUGUUACUGACGCUGAGUCACGAAAGCGUGGGGAGCAAACAGGAUUAGAUACCCUGGUAGUCCACGCCAUAAACGAUGAGUGCUAGGUGUUGGCCAGAGAUGGUCGGUGCCGCAGCAAACGCAAUAAGCACUCCACCUGGGGAGUACGACCGCAAGGUUGAAACUCAAAUGAAUUGACGG